rnacentral:rRNA from 1 species
ACUAGCAGUAAGAGUUUGAUCCUGGCUCAGGACGAACGCUGGCGGCACGCCUAACACAUGCAAGUCGAACGGCCCCUUCGGGGGCAGUGGCGGACGGGUGAGUAACGCGUGGGAACCUGCCCCUUGGUUCGGGACAACCCGGGGAAACCCGGGCUAAUACCGGAUGCGCUCCUGGCUUUGGCUGGGAGGAAAGAUUGAUCGCCGAGGGAUGGGCCCGCGUCGGAUUAGGUUGUUGGUGAGGUAACGGCUCACCAAGCCUACGAUCCGUAGCUGGUCUGAGAGGAUGAUCAGCCACACUGGGACUGAGACACGGCCCAGACUCCUACGGGAGGCAGCAGUGGGGAAUCUUGGACAAUGGACGCAAGUCUGAUCCAGCGAUGCCGCGUGAGCGAUGAAGGCCUUAGGGUUGUAAAGCUCUUUCGCCCGCGACGAUGAUGACGGUAGCGGGAGAAGAAGCCUCGGCUAACUCCGUGCCAGCCGCCGCGGUAAUAC